GCCGAAAUAGCUCAGUUGGGAGAGCGUUAGCCCGGGAAGAUCUAAAGGUCCCUGGUUCAACCCCGGGGUUUUCGGCA